rnacentral:rRNA from 1 species
AUUGAACGCUGGCGGCAUGCCUUACACAUGCAGGUCGAACGGCAGCACGGACUUCGGUCUGGUGGCGAGUGGCGAACGGGUGAGUAAUGUAUCGGAACGUACCUUUCAGUGGGGGAUAACGUAGCGAAAGUUACGCUAAUACCGCAUAUUCUGUGAGCAGGAAAGCAGGGGAUCGAAAGACCUUGCGCUGAUUGAGCGGCCGAUAUCAGAUUAGCUAGUUGGUGGGGUAAAGGCCUACCAAGGCGACGAUCUGUAGCGGGUCUGAGAGGAUGAUCCGCCACACUGGAACUGAGACACGGUCCAGACUCCUACGGGAGGCAGCAGUGGGGAAUUUUGGGCAAUGGGGGCAACCCUGAUCCAGCCAUGCCGCGUGAGUGAAGAAGGCCUUCGGGUUGUAAAGCUCUUUCGGCCGGGAAGAAAUCGCAUAGGCUAAUACCCUGUGUGGAUGACGGUACCGGAAUAAGAAGCACCGGCUAACUACGUG